rnacentral:lncRNA from 10 species
CCAACAUCCAUGGAGCAUCUGCGCCGGGCAGGAGACGUGCUAGGGGCUGAGCUGUAACACCGAGGGCCUGUCCUCGUGGGGCUGGCACGUGGGAGGGGAGCCAGAGGACACUCAGAAUGCAUCCGAAGGGAAUCCAUGUGCUGGACAGAGUUCCUCUGUUCUCUAGGUUGGCCCCAUUCUCAGCUGGCAGGAAUGAAAGACAUGAUGAGCAGCAACCUCAGGCCGCUAUCCUGCCCUCACAGUGACUGUGAGAUCAGGAGAGGCCUCAGUCCCUGUUGUGCCAGCAGCGAUCCGGGAUCGGCUCUGACUAGACCAACCAGGGUUGCAUCUUCAGCCCCAUCCCCACCCCUACCAGUGACUGAGGCUGGACAAUGGAAGGGCCAGGUCUGGGUCACGUGGCCAACCCUGGAUCCACCCAAAGCACAGGGAUUGAGUUUGUGAGCCAAGAACACCUGGGGCCAGAGAAUGGGGGAAUGGCUGCUGAACAAUCAGAAAGACCCAGCGUCCACCACACAAGCCGACAACCCCAUUGCAAAAAUGUCUAUUUCUAGUACAAAUGCCCCCAAGGGCACCCCUUUCCCUGUCAAUGAAAUGUGAUUUGAAUUCAUUUCUUACACCAAAUACAUGGAGACGGCGCAAGGCUCAUUAAGAAGAAGGAUGAGCAAGUGCACACGCUGGAUUUUAAUGGUUUAAAACUAUGUUGCCUCUGUCUGUUUAAGAAUUACUAUUCCUCAAAGAAUUCAGCUCCAUACGAUAAGUGUUAAUGCUUUAUUUCUUGGGGAAGUCUGCAGUCUGGAGUUGGAAUUGAUUGUGAACAGAAUAAAAUAAUUUGCUUUUUAUCAGCAUCCUCCAUGGAAACUUGUUUGCAGCCAGUCUGGGCCUCGGAGGAAAAUGCAUUUAGCUUUACCUCCCUAAUCCCUCUGUAAGGCGCCUAAAUCACCACCCAUCACUCAGCACCACUCAGCCUGAAAUGACCGUUGCUCAGUAAUCAUAAAAACAGAAUUACGGUCGCUGUCACCUCCUGCUGAUGGCUUCUUUAGGGCCAGAUGAGAGCAGGACUUAAGAGUCAGCGAUCGCAGGGAGCCACAAGCGCCCGCGGCUCUGCCAAGCACGGCUGUGCCCACGGAAGGGCCUUGCGUCCCCUAAAUCAGCGCUGGCCAUUCUUGUGUUCUUGACUCCCAAAGUCAGAAUUAAUGACCCUCUCCUUUACCGUGGAGGUGGUAGCUGACUGCUGAUUUACAGACUACUGAUGAGUUUCAUUUUGCUUUUAAAAAAUAUAUCAAUCACCAAAUCUGAUCGUUGGGAAUUUCCACAUAAAAGCCUGGAUUUUACUCCCUUUUUGGAAAAUAGGGAGAGUUGAAACCGCUGCAUUUGGGUGGUGCUGAGGAACGACAUCCCACCUCCCUCUCCAGUUCACCCGAGCCCUGGCCACUUUCUGGAGGCCCCUUCACUCUUUAUGUCACCUGCCUGGCCCCAGGCCACCUACAUCUGAGACCCUAGCCCACAGUGGUGCAGGUGGGUUGGAGCUCAGACUCUAUAGACGGAAGACUUACUGGCUUCCACUGCCAGCUCUGACCUGUCCUCGCUGGAUGUCUUGAAGCAAUGACUUGGUUUUGCAUGUGCAUCAGUUUCCUUAUCUGUAAAAUGGGUACAGUCAUAGCAUCGGUUGAUAUGCAAAGCAAAUGAGUUAACGAACAUGCAAGGCAACGGGAACCUCUCCCGGCACGCAGAAGAGCUGUGCUCGGAUAAGCUGCUACUGUCAUGCUCCUGCCUUCCUUUGCCCUCAUGGCAUUCUCUGCCCCAUCUUGGAUAUGGAGUGCAUGGAACUGUGGCCCCCAAGAAGAUAUGACCAAGGCCUCCACCUCUGGUGCCUGUGAAUGGGACCUUAUUUAGAAAAUGAGUCUUUGCAGACAUAAUGAAGUGAAGACUCUUGAGGGAGACUAUCCUGGAUUAAUCGGGUAGGUCCUACAACCAUGACAAGUGCUUUUAUGAGACAGAAGAGGGAGACACAGACACAGAGGGGAAGACCUGUGAAAAUGAAGGAUGGGACUCAACUGAGGCCACCACAAGCCGAGAACACCUGGGGCUGCCCAAAGCUGAGAGAGGCUGUGAAGGCAUCUCCCUGAGAGACACUGGAUGAAGCGAGGCCCUGCAGACUCCGCGAUUUCAGACUCCUGUCUUCAGAACUGUGAGAGAAUAAAUUCCUAUUGUUGUAAGCCCCGAAGUUUGCAGUGAUUUGUCACAGCAGCCACAGGACACUAAUAGCAAUGGGAUGGCAGAUUCUGUGGCCAACACCAUUUCUCUCCAGCCUGACCCAGCUCAGUGCUGGGCACGAUGUCGGGGUGACUCUGGAUCACUUCUCAACUGGGAAAAUGUGCUUACACCUCCCAGCACAUCUGUGAGGGACAGAGGGACCCUUUUUAGGGAAAGCAGGGCAGGGACCUGGAGUUCCAGGGUUGGGGGGGUGUUCCCCUUUCCCCACAGAAAGGCACAGAGCAGCAGCGAGCUCAAGGGAGAAAAUGAUGCUCACAUGUUUAGGAAGAGAUGAAAGAGGCUUCCUGCCACCAGAAUCACACCUAGUACAUGUGUGUGGGUUGGAUCAGAUCCCUGCUAUGCAGGCCCAGUGCAAAAUGGAAAUACAGGGUUUCAUGUUCAAAGACAUUUAAGAAUUUUAAGAUGGUGACAAUAGAGCACUAAGCCAAGUCGGGGGCUCUUCUGAGCAUGGGAGGCUGCACAGGUCACAAGCCUGUGAAGCUGGGCCUGGGGACCCUGCAGGCAGCAGGGAACAGUUGGUCACACCACGUCCCUACCCCAGAGCUUACCUUUUGGUGGGACGGCGACAAGAACCAAGUAAGCAAACCUACAACAUAGAUGCAUGGUUCCCAUCCUCAUGAGCAAACCUGGCUAAGUAGAUCCACUUUACUCCCACAGGAAGGGGAAAUAGAGAGUAUGAGACAACAGAGAGGUUAAGUAAUAUCUCAAGGUUGCACAGCUGGUUUGUGCUACAACUAGGCUGCAGGCCCUAAACAUCUUUACUUACUUCCCCUCAAGCAGGCAAUUAUUAGACAGCUGAUAUGUUCACUUCACAUAUAUUAACUCCUUCAAUCCUGCCACAUGGUCAAUCCUGUUAUUAUCCUCAUAUUACAGAUGAGGAAACUGAGGCACAAACCGUGUAAGUAGCUUACCCAAGGUCACACAGCCAGCAAAUGGCAGAGCCUGGAUUCAAACCAGGGAGAUGGCUCCAGGAUCUGUGUUUUCUACCCCAGUUCUCUACCGCAGGGAUGGCUCUUGUUAGGUUGAAUUUUGAUCAUUAAUUCUAAUUCUUCAAGCCAUUGUGCCCAUUUUAAUGCAACUUGUUGGAAUUUAGUGUUGUUUUAGCAUAAAAAUGGUCAAUAAACCAUAGUUUUUUGCAUAGAGGAAAAAAUAUUAACAAGGAUUUGCCCCAGAAGGAGUUUUUGGGAAGGAAAUUUUUCGGAAGGAGUCACCCGUGUCAUGAGGUGGAGGACAGGGCAUCUCGCCUUGAUCAGUUCAGGGCAUGCUCUGGUCUGCGGGGUCCUUGGCUCCUCUGUCGCCUGCCACCUCUCUUGUCUGUUCCGUUGCUCACUGACGUGUCUAUCUUGGGCUGCGAGCCCAGUGCUCAGCACACACUGUUUUUGAAUGAAUCUAUCUCUUUCUCAGUCCCUGCCGCUCUCUCCAUCUCUCUCUCUCUCUCUGCUUCUGCCUCUAGGGCCCUGUGAUUUCUUGAGGAUUGUUCCAGGAAACACACUUAAGACACCUGGGCUCAGGGACACUGACCUGUCCAGACGCAAACAUGAUCCAGGUGGGGCCAAUGACUCAGUGCCCCCAUCCCAGCCCCAUCACCCCAGGAAGACGAGACAGAUGGACUGCUGGGUCCAGCGUAAUCAGGGCUUGGAAUGGGGGCCUGAUUACCUGUCCAUGGAACAUUGAUUUAUAGGUAAUUCUUCUUCUCCUCCAAGACUCUGGAUUGCAGCUAAUUUACCGACAGUCUUAAAUCAUCCCCCCACAUGCAGUGGUGAAACCUGAGGCACCCUCUAUCAUGGGCCUCCUGUAACCACUGCCUUGAUUAAAAUGAGAGUGGUGAGGAGAAUAUCCUCCUUUGUACCGAGGGUGGGGCUCACACGGGAACUGGCAGUGUUGUUUAUCCAGAGAUGGUGGCAGCCCACACACGGCUCACUUAAUUUCAUGUUUGGUUGCUGACGGGUUUUCAUUUAUAGAUAAUAUAAACAGGUUGACAGGGCCCUAAUUAACUGAUUUGUGGUCCUUUGGGAACAAAAUGCUUAUUAAUAUUCAUAAACAUUUGUAGUACUUAGGCAGAUGCCCGGCCCUGACAUGAUCAUAAUAUGCCAUCAACAGUGAGCUCUCGUGAUGUCUGAUUUGUCCCUUGCCUGUGAACCCCAGAGAGCAUUGUCUGACCGUGGUCCCUCUCCAGGAGGUGGGUCCAGCUCUUGAUCCUGGCAUUUGUGCAUGAUUUACCGAUCACAUCUUGAACUUUCCACAAUCCUUUUUUCUCCCCAGAUGUCCUUGACCCAGCCUUCCUCCAAUCCCACCCCUGAAUCUUUUUUGAGAUCAGCUGAGAACUUCCUCCUCCAGGAAGUCCUCUUGGAUUGAUCUCUCCCUACAGUGAUGCCAUCUUUCUAUAACAGAGUUACUUAGUGCAGUGUAAUUGUUUACAUGUGGGUAAUUGUUUGCUGUUUGAUAUUCUUAGGUUAUUUUAUCGAAGAAUGUUCUGCCUUGUGAGCUUUCCCCCAAAUCAGGGAUAAAUCAAUUUCUUCCUUUAGCAGUAGAGCCUCACCUUCUGCAAUGUCAUUCGUGCCAUGGAAAUUAAAGAACAAGCAAAACAGCAGCAGCUAGCACCUUCUGGGCUCUUCAUUACAUGCCAGGAAAUACGCCAAGCCUCUUACCUGCUUUUCUCACCUCAGUCCUGGGAGGCAGGUGCAAGGGUCUUCACUGCUUUCUAGAUGAAGAAACUGAGACACAGAGAGGCCCAGUAACUUGCUCAAGACCACAGAUUAGUGAGUGGC